CAAGUUCUACUUUGUUCCACAGGCUCCUCUGCUCAGGACUGCACACGGAUAAAAUCCGAAGGGAAGCCAAGCCCUGCCUUCCAGGAGUUUAUAACUUUUCCCUCCCUUGUAACGAAAACCUAAUCGCCACCGUUUCUAGAAGCAAAUAUUUCCCCUGAUAGACGUUCCAAGGUUGAGGAAACGGGAACACCGGCCUGUGGGGUGAGGAGACCUUGACCUGCCUCGGGGGCGUUACAAACGGGGCUCUCCCGACGAUAGGGAGAAAAACAGCGUCCAAAGAGGCCGGGAGAUUUACUUUGUGAGCCAUCCAGACCUGCUGCUGAGCACUCGCGCUCGGCUUUUAGGAGUGCUAGACUUACUUGUAAGAAAUUGAUUGGUAUUGCUAUGGUAAGAGAAACAAACUUGCUCCUCGAGAAGUGGUGCUAUUGUUACAUCAAUUAUGUAUAAUGUCACAUUCAGUUCUCUCAUCAACCACAUAAGAACGCGCCAGUGGCACUGUAAGCACAUAACUUGUGAUGCAUCUGGUCCUGUCCUGCGCAAAGCGAACCAAAAUGCAUCUUCAAAUUGAGCAUACCCUUGUAUUUAUAUCAUAUUCUUUGCGAUCACUCUCGCCUCUGUUGAGUAUCGGCAGUAGUCCACUGAACUGUGAAGACGUAGCAUCAAAGGACAGAAAGUAAAGUGAAAUGGCAAUAACUAAGUAGAGCAUAAAAACAAAAGCUUACAGAAGAUAAAAAGAAAAGGAUUUGUGAGUCCCUAAAGACAAUUCCAAAAUUAACUUCCUUUUUAAAACAUAAUCAGAAAAGACUUUUUCCAUUGAAUAUCAAGUUUAAUGAGUGCAAUUGUUUUAUUAGUACUGUUAGUGCUGAAAUUAGGCCUCUUUAAAGUGUUAAAAGCAAAGAUGCCACCUUGACGGCUAAGGUGCGCCUGACCCAAGCCAUAGUGUUUUCAAUCGCUUCAUAUGCAUGUGAAAGC